AACGCGAAGAACCUUACCUGGGCUCGAAAUGUUAUGGACCGGGGUGGAAACAUCCCUUCCCCGCAAGGGGCCGUAAUAUAGGUGCUGCAUGGCUGUCGUCAGCUCGUGUCGUGAGAUGUUGGGUUAAGUCCCGCAACGAGCGCAACCCUUACCCCCAGUUGCCAUCAUUUAGUUGGGCACUCUGGUGGAACCGCCUCGGAUAACGGGGAGGAAGGUGGGGAUGACGUCAAGUCCUCAUGGCCUUUAUGUCCAGGGCUACACACGUGCUACAAUGGCGGUGACAAUGGGAUGCAAUGGCGCGAGCCUGCGCAAAUCUCAAAAAGCCGUCUCAGUUCGGAUUGCACUCUGCAACUCGAGUGCAUGAAGUUGGAAUCGCUAGUAAUCGCGGAUCAGCACGCCGCGGUGAAUACGUUCCCGGGCCUUGUACACACCGAGUAUA
rnacentral:rRNA from 1 species